GACGUUCUGUCCGACAUCACAGCAACAACACAGCUGUUCACCUUUCAUUUACUGUCUCAGCUUAUUCGGUUUCCCCCCUCCGAAAUGGUCAAACGGUGUUAUGGCACUUGCAACAUUGACUACAGAUACAAGGACUGGGUUGAAAACGUCGAUUAAGUCCCUUUUCCGAAAACAAAAAUAGAAAAAUGUUUACGUUGGAUAAAGUUAUGCGGACGACCACAUCAACAGCUGAACGUCAACACAUUAAGAAAUCACGGCACAGCUAGCUGCUACUAGAAACAUUUCUACGUUUGCUCAAAGCACUUUGUUGAAGGCAAAGCGACCCAAGACCACCCUGAUCCUCUGCAGCAUCACCUUGCAUUAUGAUCACCCAUCAUCUGUAAGGCGCCCACCACAGCGAAGAAAGCCACAGCCCCCCAGCAAGAGUGCCACAAGGCUAGGCCUACUGAAACCAUAAGGGUCAUCAUGGAGCAUCAGGACCCUACUCCACACGCCCUGGACACUACUCUACACACCCUGGACACUACUCCACACGCCCUGGACACUACUCUACACACCCUGGACACUACUCCACACGCCCUGGACCCUACUCUACACACCCAGGAAGCUACUCCACACGCCCUGGACCCUACUCUACACACCCAGGAAGCUACUCCACACGCCCUAGACCCUACUCCACACACCCAGGACACUACUCCCCACACCCUGAACUGUGCUAUUUAAAGCUUUUGCCCGUUGCAUGAACACAUUUAGCAAAACUUCGCUCACUGUGCCAAAACUCUACACACAAUAAUAACGCAACACUAGAAAAUAUACCUUUCAUAUCUGUCAAAUUGAAACUCUCAGUAUGUAAACUCUGCUAUCAAAACCUAACAAAAUGAAACACACUUGCAUCAUAUGCAUAUACUUUCAGAUCAGGAGAAACCCAC